rnacentral:lncRNA from 1 species
AUGGCCCCGAGUUCCCCUGUGCAGACUGGUAGAGUUGAGGAUGUUACCUUGGAAACUCCAGAAUUUCAGGAGGUCCUGUCUUUGUGGAAGAAAAGAGACACAGAGGUUGUGGUUUCUGUGCUUCCCUCAAAAAACCAUGGUACGUCCAUAAUUAUCCACCACAGUGAUCUGCGAACCCUUCGACCACACCUGUGGCUAACAGGCGAGGUAUAUCAAUGAUUAAUUUAAGCACUCAUAACCACAAUAAUUAGACUGUGUAAUGUAAUUCAAUUAAAAGGACAUUAUCAUGAAAUUAUUUAUCAUUAACAUAAUUUAAAGUAUAUAAAUUACAUAGCUUUUGUGUUUAUGCAAAUUCUUUACGUAGGUAAUUGAAGGCCUGUUUCAUUGUCUGGCAAAAAAGGAGCAAAAGGGGAUCUACAUUAUGAACCAUUACACAGCGGGCUUGAUUCUCUUUGGUGAUCGGACACAGCUUUCUCGCCAAAGCUUGCGGAACGUAAGAUGAUUGUCCAAUGUCCAUAUAAUUAUGUUCAAAUACAUUUAGAAAGAAUUACUGAUUGAAUGCUAACAGAAUUCCACAAACUGUAAGAAAUACAUACAUGUUUUCUGACAGGUAAACUUCGAUCGGUACCAGGCCAUUGUCAUGUUUGUUAACAUUAAAAAUGUACACUGGAAGUUUCUGGUAAGCAACAAGAUUAUAACUUUAAAGUCUGUGUAUUUUUUUUAAUGAUGAUAUAUUAAUAUUGUUUUAAUGAUUUAUCUUUGCUACAGUUCAUCAAUGCAGUGAAUCACACUGUUUAUCUCCUUGAUCCUGCCCCAAGUUCAUCAGAGGAGGAAGACUCUAAACUCGCUGCACGUAAAUUCAGGUAUUUAGGCUUUAACACAUUUUGUUCUAUGCAAAUAGGCUGUACAAGUUAGUUUACUACAACUGCAUUUUUGUAGAAGCUUUUUGUACCUGGCCCCACAAUGCGUGUUUCUCUGUUGGCGUCCUCUUGGCCAGGUCUCAUUUGCAAAAUCAUUCAGUACAGUUAAAUAAAAAUUAUCAGGUGAACAAAUUAUUUAGACAAUAAUUCUGAUGGCAAAAGAGCCACACGGGACAGGCCAAAAAAUAAAUAAAUAAAUAAAAAAUAAAUAAAUUCUGUAUAAUUCUGUAAAAUAUCUUUUUUUUUAGAUUACGAAAUAUGACAUAUGCCAAGUUGUAUUCUGUUUUCU